rfam:Micromonospora echinospora strain DSM 43816 genome assembly, chromosome: I
CUUGAUCGACCCGAGCAGCAACGGCUCGACACGAUCCUGCCCGUACGUCGCCAACAACGCCUGCGCCUC